rnacentral:rRNA from 1 species
CUACGGGAUGCAGCAGUAGGGAAUAUUCCGCAAUGGACGAAAGUCUGACGGAGCGACACCGCGUGGAGGAUGACACUUUUCGGAGCGUAAACUCCUUUUAUGAGGGAAGAAGAUCUGACGGUACCUCAUGAAUAAGGACCGGCUAAUUACGUGCCAGCAGCCGCGGUAAUACGUAAGGUCCAAGCGUUAACCGGAAUCACUGGGCGUAAAGCGUCCGCAGGUGGUUGUAUAAGUUUGCUAUUAAAUAUCAGUGCUCAACAUUGGUGCCGUAGUGAAAACUGUACAACUAGAGGAUAGGAGAGGAGUGUGGAAUUAUGCAAGUAGGGGUAAAAUCCGUAGAUAUGCAUAGGAACACCAAAAGCGAAGGCAGCACUCUGGACUAUUCCUGACACUCAGGGACGAAAGCGUGGGGAGCAAAAGGGAUUAGAUACCCUGGUAGUC